UGAGCAGGGGCUUGAGGUAUGCCGGUGCUUUUUGUGUUCGCGUUGGAUCGAAUUUUUAGCAUUUUAAAGUUCUAGUUUCUUGGUUGUACGAUGAGAAAUGUGAAACAGUUUGAUGGUUAGAGUCUAAAUUUACGAUGCGAUGAGUGGAUUUUGGCUAUGUUACAUCCCUCGCAACUCCACUUUCUAGUCUGGAACCUCUAAAUUUUUGUUAUAUUGAAUGACGAAUCUGGAUAGGUAGACUCUUCUAGUCGUUCAAUGUCGCCCUUAACAUUUGAGUAUAGUUCCUGGCGCAGUGGAUGGACAUAUUUGCACUGUUUUAACUGUCACUGUGUAGAGGAGGACUGUGUGUAGUUCUUCAAUCUCAGGAUGUGGAGUUGAUACCGGGGCUAUCGACCUUGGUUGUUAUGAAGUGUGAAUGACGGCGUGACAUGUAGUUGAGAGUGCUCUUAGAUCUGUCAGGAAUUAUCUGGGAUUACUAUCACUUCCUCGAUUGCUUGAUCUUUGACUGGCAGUCGUGUGUGCAAGUGCUGUUGAGAAGCACGAAGAAGUACUACUGAGAUCUUUAUGAACGUGUGUCAGUUUUGUUCGCCAACCCCGAUCAUUCUGGUGCUCAAAUUGUGCAUGAACUUUCGGGUUUUACGCUUCUAACCCAUUCUUCUCUGUCUUUAUGGAAGCGGUGUAUUAAGGUGUAACAACAUCCUCUUUGUGUCCGUAUGCAUAUCUGAAGCAUUUAUACUAUCUUCUCAAUAGGCCGUAUCCUUCCUCCAAAUAUAAUCUCUUCCUUUUCAAAAAUCGUUUUCAUCAAAUGAAUAAAUUGAAUCUCACUCUCUUGAACAGAAAGAUUAGUUCCCAUCCAAACGGUCUGUUCAUUUAACUUCACUGUUUGGUAACCUUGACUAUGCCGAAAUUCUUUUCGAGGAUCCUCGGAUCAUUAUUGACAAAUAUAUUGGCAUAUGAUUUUCUUACGUUAGAAUGGCGCUUCAACAUCCUCUUUGACUAGAAGCUGUGUCAGGAAGCUCUAAAAGCCAGUCCUGAAUACAGUCAGCCUUGAAUAUUAUGAGCCGGUUCUGAUAUGUUGACCACAAUCUGAGUACCUCGUUGCACCUCAAUUAGGAAAGUGAGCUUACUUAAUUCUGAUUCAAAUUAUCUAAUAAUGCACCUGGGUCACGGGUGCAGAGAACAGCCAGCAGUCUUUGUCACAUCUAGAUGAUAAUGAAAUUAGCAAUUUCAUGGUAGACGGCUAUUCAAAGUACGCGCCACAUGCAGAUUCUCCUAAGCGCAGUAAGAAGAGACAAGGCGUGAGAAACGUUGAGUGAGGAAUUAUUGCACUGGACAAGCAUGCAUUCGACACUGCGUCCUCACCCACGCAUACUCCAAGUUCCUUUGCACACACAUGGGGUCAGAACGCUACACACUGACGGUUCUGUAAUCCGAAAGCAUGUCAGGCCUUGCACUGUCGUAUCUCAGGUCUCCUACUGGAAGAAGGAGCUCUCAACGAUCCACGACUUUCAAAACCAGAGAUUUGAAUGUCAAACGAUGUAGGAUUCUCUUGGACAAAAGAGAACUGGCUUGGAGAAGUAGGGACUAGGGUUUUGAAUUCUUUUCACUACGAGUCACUGUCCUGAAUGACACCGUUGGAGUCGUACGGGACAAAGAUGUGGAUGGAGCACAAAUCGCAAACGUUCAAAAUCGCAACUUUGCACAAGCCUUCUGUUUGUACGAAUCUGUCAGGAGUAUCUCGAGAGAAUAUUCUCAGCUCUGUCAGAAACGAUGGUGGACGAGCAGGACUGACCUCGACUGGGCUGGAUACGCAUGGAAUCGCCCGGGACUUGGGUCAUACAGCUUGUUCUGGGGCUUCUUCACAUUCUUAUCCCGAAAACUGGGAGUCGAUUGUAAUCCUUGCAUACUUGGAAAGACUGCGUUUCCUUAUUCAGAUUCUGACCAAAGAAAUGUUGAAGCUGAACCUCCUAGUCAGAGCAGGAGUGAAGGAGGCAGCCUGUACAUUUUGGACUCGGUCACCACUCGUGCGUGGCUAAUCUAUCAUUUCAUGGAAAAACAGCAGACUUUGAGCCAUGUCUUUGGCUAGCUUUGGGUGGUGAUGUUAAAAGUCCUAUGCAGAAGAGUGUACCUAAUGAAAAUGUAAGGGAUAAGAUUUGCAGGCGGGGUACAACGCAAGCAACAUAAAUUGGAAAUGACUAACAGUGAUCUGCUUCGUGCCAAGGGAAUAAAUGAUAACUUGAGGACCGUGUAACUGUACACAGUCUCCAAAUAUCAUAUCGAGAAAGCUGUUCUUAACUCAGUAAACCAAGGCUGUGGGUGCAACAGUUGCUUACAUUCUCGAAAAGUUGCACUUCACACAUCCUCACAUUUCUCACGAAUUAUCUCAACAGAGAUCUGUCUCAACACAGGUGUAGCCAAGAGCCUUGAGGAAAUUCUAGUGUGAGAUUGAUAAGAUUACGAUGUGCACAUCAACAAAGCCUGCUUUGGUCGGCACAAAAUCAGUGGGGACUACUAUCAUCACUUCCCUUACGCCUACAGACAAGCUUCAUCGGGGUGAUAGAUGAGUCGACAACAUACAGGUCGGUAGAACAUUGCCACUAGUACUCAGCUCGAGUUAUUCUGCAGAAUGGGAACUGGCAGUUGGAAAUGGAGUAUCUGAACAAGCAGUUUCAGGAAGAUUUCAUGUUACUCGGUAUUCAAGCAGACCUGAUAAAUGUUACUGCGGUAUAUGCAUACUAUUCUUUCAUUGGUCAAGGCACAAGCAUUUUUUCGUACUAACGUCACGCUCUUCCACCACAAGAGUCUUCUUCAACCAUAAAAGAUUCAGUCCAGUGGAAGCAAGGGUAGGAUGGAAUGUAUCUUGCCAAUGAUCUGGCUCUCUGCAUGCCUACAGACCCUCCAUUCACGAGCCACCCUUGUUCUGUAAAGUUUAAAUACUUUCGUCGAUUCUGCAUUUGCUGGUUGUGUAGGCGACAUAGUGCUGGUUGUGCACUAUUUCAAAACAUUAAUAUUGGUGCAAGGUUUUCAGGUCCGGCAAGGAUUCGAGGCUUAUUGCUCGCCAUCAGUAAUUAGCUUAUGGAAUCUGUUCAUUCAUCAGCAAAUGGACUCUGUAGCUGUUUCUUCUCCGAUUUAAGUGCCUUUCUGUAGUACUAAUUCCUUGACCCUGUCGGAUGCAGUUCUUGUUGUGAAAUGUGGAUUACAGAUGAGGUCGAAGUUGGGUUCGUUCAUUGGGGAAGGCAGGGAUCUCUGUCAAUUUCCCUAUCUAAUUGUUGCAUCUCUUGUUUACUGAAAGUACUCGUCAAUAUCACCAUGAAAGAAUCCCACCAGUUGCGUUCAUACACCUGAACGACCUUGAGAAUAUGCAAUGUUACUGAAAACCGUAGUGGCUUCAAAGACUCAUGGUUCUUUGAAUAAUGGUCAUCUUCACAGUUCGACAUUGUUGUAUUAUUGCAAGUCACACAACUGGUGCAUGGUUAAUCAGUGGUCACCUACAUGAGGAUUUCUCAAGCUUGUGCCGAGCGGUUAUUUGAUAGGCGACGAACAGGCGUCUACUGGAAUUUUUACCAUACAUUCUCAAGCCACCCUUGGGAAACAGGUAUUCAUAAAACUACACGAGCAAAGACGAAACGAUUAGAAGGUUCUGAGAGUAGGUUAACUUAGAAUCCGAUUUGAUUUUACAGCGUUGCAGGAUUCGGUGCAUGUAAUGAGUCAUUUAAAUACUUCAGAGUUUGGGAUGCCCAACAAUUCAAUUUGUUUGAAAGUUUCUUCGCAUUCUCAGUACCCCACCAAGUGCCUACCAAUUCUUUACAGCUAGGAAAAGAACCAUUUAUGAAGUCUAAUGAGUCUAACAUGAUUUGUGUUCUACCUGCACUCCAUUGCAGUUGCUCUUCAUAAGACAGAUGAAACUGUUGAACAAAAAACAAUACAACCCUCCCCAUAUGAAGUUCCAUUACAUUGUUGAUAGCUUUCAAUGCCAAUAGCUUCUUAAAUCCUCAAGAACUUUUCCAUGCU